rnacentral:rRNA from 1 species
UACGUAGGGUCCAAGCGUUAUCCGGAAUCACUGGGCGUAAAGCGUGCGUAGGUGGCGUGUUAAGUGUGAUGUUAAAUCGCGGGGCUCAACCCUGUCGGUGCAUCGCAUACUGGCAUGCUAGAGGGAAGCAGAGGCAAGUGGAAUUUGUAGUGUAGCAGUGAAAUGCGUAGAUAUUACAAGGAACACCAAUGGCGAAGGCAGCUUGCUGGGCUUCUUCUGACACUGAGGUACGAAAGCGUGGGGAGCAAACAGG